GUGGGGAAUAUUGGGCAAUGGGCGAAAGCCUGACCCAGCAACGCCGCGUGAAGGAAGAAGGUUUUCGGAUCGUAAACUUCUAUCCUUGGUGAAGAUAAUGAUGGUAGCCAAGAAGGAAGCCCCGGCUAACUACGUGCCAGCAGCCGCGGUAAUACGUAGGGGGCAAGCGUUGUCCGGAAUGAUUGGGCGUAAAGGGCGCGUAGGCGGCCCGGUAAGUCUGAAGUGAAAGUCCUGCUUUUAAGGUGGGAAUUGCUUUGGAUACUGUCGGGCUUGAGUGCAGGAGAGGUAAGCGGAAUUCCCGGUGUAGCGGUGAAAUGCGUAGAGAUCGGGAGGAACACCAGUGGCGAAGGCGGCUUACUGGACUGUAACUGACGCUGAGGCGCGAAAGUGUGGGGAGCAAACAGGAUUAGAUACCCCGUAGUCC
rnacentral:rRNA from 1 species